AUCUAAGGCUAUAUCACCCUGACCAAGCCUGAUCUUGUCUGAUCUUGGAAGCUAAGCAUGGUUGGGCCUGGUUAGUACUUGGAUGGGAGACCACCUAGAAUACUAGAUGCUGUAGACC
rnacentral:rRNA from 1 species